UAGCUCAGCUGGUUGAGCAUCGUGCUGAUAACACCAAAGUCAUGAGUUCGAUCCUCGU
rnacentral:tRNA from 1 species